rnacentral:lncRNA from 1 species
UAAAAGUUACAGGAAUCACAUGCAUAAGGGAUGCAAUUAUUUCAAAUGGUUAAAUGACGACAUUUUAGAUGAAAGGGAUCUGAAGAUUCAAAGGCAAAAGAAGAAAAUGUGAAAAUUGAAGAAUGAAAUUAGUCAGACUAAAGGACUAUUGAAAGUGUUCAUUGUGGUUGGAAUAUUGAGCUUAGUGUUGAAUGAUGUAUUUGUAACAAUGUAUAUUUAGGUUUGAAUUUU